ensembl:lncRNA
AAUGAUCUCUCUGACUCUGACCAUUACCAUGGGGUGUGGGAUGUGUGUGUGUGUGUGGGGGGGGGGGGGGGGAGCGGGAAGGGCUCUUAUCACUUGAUAAUGUUGUUUGUAAUACCAUUAAAUAGUUACCAUGGUCAAAAAGCAUUAAACCAUCAUUGAAUUUAACACUAGUGUGUUCCACGGUCAAACUCAAUUUGUAUUACGCCUUCCCACAAUUGACGGAUGGUUAAACAGUUAUAUUAUUUUCAGAAACUCGUCUUCAAGAGUUAAGGGGUACCCUUGCCUCUGAAGCUCCAGUGGCAAAAGCAGACAUAACCUGGACACAACGGCAGGUGCUCGCUGGAGUUAGGGCAAAAUUAGCAAGGCCAUUACUCCUAGAUGCCAAACUCUCGGCACAGAGAGCAUUACAGGAAACAUGCCAGAAAUGCCACGAAGAGGAGGCAGUUAUUCGGUGCCUUGAGUGUGUCCCACUGGACUUUGAGUACCUCUGUGGCAAGUGUGACAUAGAGGUCCACAGGAGGCAUGUCUUCCAUGGCAGGGUGGCAAUAUUCCAUGGCUAUCUGGAGCCUAUUCCCCCUACAAAGGCAGUGGUGGUGGAUGGGAAUGGCCAGCUUCAUUUUUCCGAGCAGGUAUGUCAGUUGCCAAUGCCUGCCCAAAGGGUAAUAUGUGGUUGCACUGAAGAGGCUGAGGUUACCACUGGGAGGCAUAUUGCAGUGGUCACUAUAAAUGGACGAUACGAGAUGUGUUUACCCCGAAAGGUCUGCUCUUGCUGCACAACAGAAUGGACUCCAGGGGUAAAGGACCUUCUACAGUAUAAUUACUGGCCAAGCACUACCAACUGCCAGACUUUAUAUUCGUUUGAUGUUUUUGAGGCAUUUUCAAACAUAAAGUUGGCAGCUCCCUCCCUGUCGAGGCAUGCUUUUUUAAAGCUUCUGGAGCACCAGUCUGUUCGAGGAGGAAGGGUAAGUCUGCCUGAAUCGCAUUGUAACACACAAUUAUAA